rnacentral:rRNA from 1 species
AAUGGGGGCAACCCUGACGCAGCGACGCCGCGUGAGUGAGGAAGGCCUUCGGGUCGUAAAGCUCUGUCAAAGGGAAAGAAGUGCAUGGUGGCUAAUACCUGCCAUGUUUGACGGUACCCUUAAAGGAAGCACCGGCUAACUCCGUGCCAGCAGCCGCGGUAAUACGGAGGGUGCAAGCGUUGUUCGGAAUCACUGGGCGUAAAGGGCGCGCAGGCGGUUUGGUAAGUCAGAUGUGAAAGCCCACGGCUUAACCGUGGAAGUGCAUUUGAUACUGUCAGACUUGAGUACCAGAGGGGAAAGUGGAAUUCCCGGUGUAGAGGUGAAAUUCGUAGAUAUCGGGAGGAAUACCGGUGGCGAAGGCGACUUUCUGGCUGAGUACUGACGCUGAGGCGCGAAAGCGUGGGGAGCAAA